GAUAAACGCUGGCGGCAUGCUUAACACAUGCAAGUCUAUUCGAAAGCAGCAAUGCUAGUAGGAUGGCGAACGGGUGAGUAACACGUGAACAAUCUGCCCUCAAGACUGGGAUAGCUUGUCGAAAGACAGGAUAAUACCGGAUAAGCCCACAGGUAUGCAUAUACUAGUGGGAAAAGCUAAAUGCGCUUGAGGAGGAGUUCGCGUCCCAUUAGCUAGUUGGUGAGGUAACGGCCCACCAAGGCGACGAUGGGUAGCCGGCCUGAGAGGGUGUACGGCCACAAGGGAACUGAGACACGGACCUUACUCCCACGGGAGGCAGCAGUGGGGAAUAUUGUUCAAUGGACGAAAGUCUGAAACAGCAAUGCCGCGUGGACGAUGAAGGCCUCGG
rnacentral:rRNA from 1 species